rnacentral:rRNA from 1 species
AUUGAACGCUGUCGGCAGGCCUAACACAUGCAAGUCGAACGAGUGGCGGACGGGUGAGUAAUGUCUGGGAACCUGCCCGAUGGUGGGGGCUAACUACUGGAAACGGUCGCUAAUACCGCAUACCAUCGGAUGUGCCCAGAUGGGCUUAGCUAGUAGGUGUGGUAACGGCUCACCUAGGCGACGAUCCCUAGCUGGUCUGAGAGGAUGACCAGCCACACUGGAACUGAGACACGGUCCAGAAUCCUAAGGGAGGCAGCAGUGGGGAAUAUGGCACAAUGGGCGCAAGCCUGAUGCAGCCAUGCCGCGUGGAUGAAGAAGGCCUGCGGGUUGUAAAGUACUUUCAGCGAGGAGGCGUUACUCGCAGAAGAAGCACAGGCUAACUCCGUGCCAGCAGCCGCGGUAAUAC